rnacentral:rRNA from 1 species
CCUACGGGUGACAGCAGUCGAGAAUCAUUCACAAUGGGGGAAGCCCUGAUGGGGCGACGCCGCGUGGGGGAAUGAAGGUCUGCGGAUUGUAAACCCCUGUCAUGUGGGAGCAAAUUAAAAAGAUAGUACCACAAGAGGAAGAGACGGCGAACGCUGUGCCAGCAGCCGCGGGAAGACAGAGGGCUCAAGCGUUGUUCGGAAUCACUGGGCGUAAAGCGUGCGUAGGCUGUUUCGUAAGUCGUGUGUGAAAGGCGCGGGCUCAACCCGCGGACGGCACAUGAUACUGCGAGACUAGAGUACUGGAGGGGGAACCGGACUUCUCGUUGUAGCCGU